UAAGACGAACCGUGCGAACGUUGUUCGGAAUCACUGGGCUUAAAGGGCGCGUAGGCGGGCUAGCAAGUCUGGGGUGAAAUCCUCCGGCUCAACCGGGGGACGGCCUGAGAUACUGCUGGCCUCGAGGCGGGUAGGGGCGUGCGGAACUAUGGGUGGAGCGGUGAAAUGCGUUGAUAUCCAUAGGAACUCCGGUGGCGAAGGCGGCACGCUGGACCCGAUCUGACGCUGAGGCGCGAAAGCCAGGGGAGCGAACGGGAUUAGAUACCCCGGUAGUCCUGGCCCUAAACGUUGAGAACUAGGUAGCAGGCCGGACAUGGGCUUGCUGCCGGAGCGAAAGUGCUAAGUUCUCCGCCUGGGGAGUAUGGUCGCAAGGCUG
rnacentral:rRNA from 1 species